rnacentral:rRNA from 1 species
UGGGGAAUUUUGGACAAUGGGCGAAAGCCUGAUCCAGCAAUGCCGCGUGUGUGAAGAAGGCCUUCGGGUUGUAAAGCACUUUUGUCCGGAAAGAAAUCCUCUGGGUUAAUACCUCGGGGGGAUGACGGUACCGGAAGAAUAAGCACCGGCUAACUACGUGCCAGCAGCCGCGGUAAUACGUAGGGUGCAAGCGUUAAUCGGAAUUACUGGGCGUAAAGCGUGCGCAGGCGGUUUUGUAAGACGGAUGUGAAAUCCCCGGGCUUAACCUGGGAACUGCAUUCGUGACUGCAAGGCUAGAGUAUGGCAGAGGGGGGUAGAAUUCCACGUGUAGCAGUGAAAUGCGUAGAGAUGUGGAGGAAUACCGAUGGCGAAGGCAGCCCCCUGGGCCAAUACUGACGCUCAUGCACGAAAGCGUGGGGAGCAAACAGGAUUAGAUACCCUGGUAGUCCACGCCCUAAACGAUGUCAACUAGUUGUUGGGGAUCCAUUUCCUUAGUAACGUAGCUAACGCGUGAAGUUGACCGCCUGGGGAGUACGGUCGCAAGAUUAAAACUCAAAGGAAUUGACGGGGUCAUAGCUGUUUCC